GGGUCAGUAGGUUGGUCGUGCCACCGGUACGUACUGGUCUCACUGAUUCCUCCUUCCUGAAGAACCGUAAUGCCAUUAAUUUGGUGUUGCGGGGAAACAGGUCUGUUACUUUGAAAAAAUUAGAGUGUUUAAAGCAAGCUAACGCUUGAAUACAUUAGCAUGGAAUAAUGAAAUAGGACGAUCGAUCCUAUUUUGUUGGUUUCCAGGAUUGACGUA
rnacentral:rRNA from 1 species